AUUGAACGCUGGCGGCAGGCCUAACACAUGCAAGUCGAACGAGUGGCGGACGGGUGAGUAAUGUCUGGGAAACUGCCUGAUGGGGGGGGAUAACUACUGGAAACGGUAGCUAAUACCGCAUACCAUCAGAUGUGCCCAGAUGGGAUUAGCUAGUUGGGGGGGUAACGGCGCACCAAGGCGACGAUCCCUAGCUGGCCUGAGAGGAUGACCGGCAACACUGGAACUGAGACACGGUCCAGACUCCUACGGGAGGCAGCAGUGGGGAAUAUUGCACAAUGGGCGAAAGCCUGAUGCAGCCAUGCCGCGUGUAUGAAGAAGGCCUUCGGGUUGUAAAGUACUUUCAGCGGGGAGGCGUUACCCGCGGAGGAAGCACCGGCUAACUCCGUGCCAGCAGCCGCGGUAAUUC
rnacentral:rRNA from 1 species